rnacentral:miRNA from 1 species
UACUACUCCCUCCGUCUCAUA